rnacentral:rRNA from 1 species
GAUGAACGCUGGCGGCGUGCUUAACACGUGCAAGUCGAACGAUGAACCUCACUUGUGGGGGGAUUAGUGGCGAACGGGUGAGUAACACGUGAGUAACCUGCCCUUGACUCUGGGAUAAGCCUGGGAAACCGGGUCUAAUACUGGAUACGACCUCCCCGCGCAUGCGGUGUUGGUGGAAAGCUUUUGUGGUUUUGGAUGGACUCGCGGCCUAUCAGCUUGUUGGCGGGGUAAUGGCCUACCAAGGCGACGACGGGUAGCCGGCCUGAGAGGGUGACCGGCCACACUGGGACUGAGACACGGCCCAGACUCCUACGGGAGGCAGCAGUGGGGAAUAUUGCACAAUGGGCGCAAGCCUGAUGCAGCGACGCCGCGUGAGGGAUGAAGGCCUUCGGGUUGUAAACCUCUUUCAGUAGGGAAGAAGCCGGCCCUUUGGGUUGGUGACGGUACCUGCAGAAGAAGCGCCGGCUAACUACGUGCCAGCAGCCGCGGUAAUACGUAGGGCGCAAGCGUUAUCCGGAAUUAUUGGGCGUAAAGAGCUCGUAGGCGGUUUGUCGCGUCUGCCGUGAAAGUCCGGGGCUUAACUCCGGAUCUGCGGUGGGUACGGGCAGACUAGAGUGCAGUAGGGGAGACUGGAAUUCCUGGUGUAGCGGUGAAAUGCGCAGAUAUCAGGAGGAACACCGAUGGCGAAGGCAGGUCUCUGGGCUGUAACUGACGCUGAGGAGCGAAAGCAUGGGGAGCGAACAGGAUUAGAUACCCUGGUAGUCCAUGCCGUAAACGUUGGGCACUAGGUGUGGGGGACAUUCCACGUUUUCCGCGCCGUAGCUAACGCAUUAAGUGCCCCGCCUGGGGAGUACGGCCGCAAGGCUAAAACUCAAAGGAAUUGACGGGGGCCCGCACAAGCGGCGGAGCAUGCGGAUUAAUUCGAUGCAACGCGAAGAACCUUACCAAGGCUUGACAUGAACCGGAAUGAUGCAGAGAUGUGUCAGCCACUUGUGGCCGGUUUACAGGUGGUGCGUGGUUGUCGUCAGCUCGUGUCGUGAGAUGUUGGGUUAAGUCCCGCAACGAGCGCAACCCUCGUUCCAUGUUGCCAGCGGGUUAUGCCGGGGACUCAUGGGAGACUGCCGGGGUCAACUCGGAGGAAGGUGGGGACGACGUCAAAUCAUCAUGCCCCCUAUGUCUUGGGCUUCACGCAUGCUACAAUGGCCGGUACAAAGGGUUGCGAUACUGUGAGGUGGAGCUAAUCCCAAAAAGCCGGUCUCAGUUCGGAUUGAGGUCUGCAACUCGACCUCAUGAAGUUGGAGUCGCUAGUAAUCGCAGAUCAGCAACGCUGCGGUGAAUACGUUCCCGGGCCU